AACGAACGCUGGCGGCAGGCUUAACACAUGCAAGUCGAAUGCCCCGCAAGGGGAGUGGCAGACGGGUGAGUAACGCGUGGGAAUCUACCGUGCCCUGCGGAAUAGCUCCGGGAAACUGGAAUUAAUACCGCAUACGCCCUACGGGGGAAAGAUUUAUCGGGGUAUGAUGAGCCCGCGUUGGAUUAGCUAGUUGGUGGGGUAAAGGCCUACCAAGGCGACGAUCCAUAGCUGGUCUGAGAGGAUGAUCAGCCACAUUGGGACUGAGACACGGCCCAAACUCCUACGGGAGGCAGCAGUGGGGAAUAUUGGACAAUGGGCGCAAGCCUGAUCCAGCCAUGUCGCGUGAGUGAUGAAGGCCUUAGGGUUGUAAAGCUCUUUCACCGAUGAAGAUAAUGACGGUAGUCGGAGAAGAAGCCCCGGCUAACUUCGUGCCAGCCGCCGCGGUAA
rnacentral:rRNA from 1 species